GGAGCAUGACGUACAUAACUGUCUACAAAAUAUUUCACCUUCAAGUAGUAGAUAAGGGCCAUAAGGGAAAUCAGGAAAGAGAAAGAUACACCAUCUUCAGCACAAAGACAGAGGCAGCGGCUGCCAGUCUCCCCAGGAUGCCUGCAAACCCAUCAGCAGCUGUGGGGGCUGUGAAGACAAACCCAGAUCAAGAGCACAGGCUUUUAAAACGCCUGAAAUCACUAGUUCUGGCAAGAAAUCUCUGCUGAAUCGGUCAAUGCUGACAUCAAAAGGUUCACAGAAGUUCUCUGACUAUAAAAUUCCAUCUCGAAGCACCUUUCCUAAAGACUUAAGAAGUAUCUUUUUUGUCUUUAUUCUGGUCUUGAGACAUUUCUUGUUUUUUAGUCCAAAUUACUUUAAACCCUUUUGCUAUUUAUAUGUGCUUUGCUUUGAAGAAUUCCUUCUCUUGGCAGAAGAAGUGCAAUGAGGGAGCAUUUAUUAAAGGUAUGGACCAAUGAGA